rnacentral:rRNA from 1 species
UUAAAUUGAAGAGUUUGAUCAUGGCUCAGAUUGAACGCUGGCGGCAGGCCUAACACAUGCAAGUCGAACGGUAACAGGAAGAAGCUUGCUUCUUUGCUGACGAGUGGCGGACGGGUGAGUAAUGUCUGGGAAACUGCCUGAUGGAGGGGGAUAACUACUGGAAACGGUAGCUAAUACCGCAUAACGUCGCAAGACCAAAGAGGGGGACCUUCGGGCCUCUUGCCAUCGGAUGUGCCCAGAUGGGAUUAGCUAGUAGGUGGGGUAACGGCUCACCUAGGCGACGAUCCCUAGCUGGUCUGAGAGGAUGACCAGCCACACUGGAACUGAGACACGGUCCAGACUCCUACGGGAGGCAGCAGUGGGGAAUAUUGCACAAUGGGCGCAAGCCUGAUGCAGCCAUGCCGCGUGUAUGAAGAAGGCCUUCGGGUUGUAAAGUACUUUCAGCGGGGAGGAAGGGAGUAAAGUUAAUACCUUUGCUCAUUGACGUUACCCGCAGAAGAAGCACCGGCUAACUCCGUGCCAGCAGCCGCGGUAAUACGGAGGGUGCAAGCGUUAAUCGGAAUUACUGGGCGUAAAGCGCACGCAGGCGGUUUGUUAAGUCAGAUGUGAAAUCCCCGGGCUCAACCUGGGAACUGCAUCUGAUACUGGCAAGCUUGAGUCUCGUAGAGGGGGGUAGAAUUCCAGGUGUAGCGGUGAAAUGCGUAGAGAUCUGGAGGAAUACCGGUGGCGAAGGCGGCCCCCUGGACGAAGACUGACGCUCAGGUGCGAAAGCGUGGGGAGCAAACAGGAUUAGAUACCCUGGUAGUCCACGCCGUAAACGAUGUCGACUUGGAGGUUGUGCCCUUGAGGCGUGGCUUCCGGAGCUAACGCGUUAAGUCGACCGCCUGGGGAGUACGGCCGCAAGGUUAAAACUCAAAUGAAUUGACGGGGCCCGCACAAGCGGUGGAGCAUGUGGUUUAAUUCGAUGCAACGCGAAGAACCUUACCUGGUCUUGACAUCCACGGAAGUUUUCAGAGAUGAGAAUGUGCCUUCGGGAACCGUGAGACAGGUGCUGCAUGGCUGUCGUCAGCUCGUGUUGUGAAAUGUUGGGUUAAGUCCCGCAACGAGCGCAACCCUUAUCCUUUGUUGCCAGCGGUCCGGCCGGGAACUCAAAGGAGACUGCCAGUGAUAAACUGGAGGAAGGUGGGGAUGACGUCAAGUCAUCAUGGCCCUUACGACCAGGGCUACACACGUGCUACAAUGGCGCAUACAAAGAGAAGCGACCUCGCGAGAGCAAGCGGACCUCAUAAAGUGCGUCGUAGUCCGGAUUGGAGUCUGCAACUCGACUCCAUGAAGUCGGAAUCGCUAGUAAUCGUGGAUCAGAAUGCCACGGUGAAUACGUUCCCGGGCCUUGUACACACCGCCCGUCACACCAUGGGAGUGGGUUGCAAAAGAAGUAGGUAGCUUAACCUUCGGGAGGGCGCUUACCACUUUGUGAUUCAUGACUGGGGUGAAGUCGUAACAAGGUAACCGUAGGGGAACCUGCGGUUGGAUCACCUCCUUACCUUAAAGAAGC